UGUCUCUAGAUUAAAACGGUACUGAGUGUUGAAAGAACAACAGGACUUUUCUUUAACUCUGGAUUGUUUUAACAUGGAAGUCAUUGGGAAGUUGUUCCUGUCUGAAGCCAGCCCCCUGUGGUCAUUUGAAGAACUGCAACAGGAUUCACUGAGCAUGUGACACAAAGGUGGAAGUUUCUUCUUCUUGUGAUGGUUCAAACCUGGAAAAGAGUUUAGUUUGUCUGAUCAGGAAACUGAAAAUGAGGACGUCAGCGGAGCAGAAAGAGGAGGAACACCGUCAACAAUCAUGUUGGAGCUCCAACAGGCAUUUUCCUGACUCAGCAAAAACAUCUGUUUGUUUUUCUUUGUUCUGUCCAGCAGCUGAACAAAUGGAAGAAGGUUGGAGGUUCAGUGGACCAAGAGCUGGAUCAUCUAAAGGAAAACGGGCUCCACACACAACAUCUAUCAGUGUGUCGUCAACAAGAAGCUGAUUCCUAGAGAAAAGUGAGAGUUUCAGCUCUAAGGGGUCUGAAGUCCAUCUGAGAAGAUCACUAACUCAUCAGUCCUGCUGUCCCUGAAGACCGGCUUCAUGUUCAGAACCAGCUUCAGGUUCUGGGCUGGGAUUGGAUGUGUUGUGGUGGCAGUAAAGCAGGUUCAGACCCGGAUCAGAGCAGAAUGUAGAAAGUGUCAAAGUGUCAGUCAGACUCCCAGACAGAAUGUUCCAGAUCAGCAUUUAUUGGUUAUUUCUUGAUGUUCUUCAUCUUUGGAGAAAAGCAGAGCUAGAAAAUCAAACAAAGUUCCAUCUAUCUGGUAAAAACUUGGAUUCAUUCAGUCUUUCCCGUAUGGACAGAUUUCUUUGACGUCUUUUCUUUUCAUGUAAAUUCAGUCAAACAUGUUGAUCCUUCAGGAUGUGGAUGAGUUGAUAUGAAACAGUGUUUUCUGCAGCAGGAACAUGUGAGAGGAAACCUGCUGUUCCUCAGCUGAUCUUCAUCAUUCCAUCUCAGCAGCAGAUGAGGAGGAUGUGCUGCUGGAAAAUCUGCCUCACAGACUCAGUUUGCAGCUUCUGCUUUCAGGUUUGACUUCUAGUUUCUGGAGAAACAGGAAAAAGAAACAGGAAAUCUCCACACCACUCUAGAACCAUCUAGAACAGUAUUAUGGGAUGUUUCUCAGCUGAAUCACUGGGAUUCAUCUUCAUGUGAACAUCAAAGUGAUCGUGUCAGAUGAAAUCUUUCCUGUUUGAAGGAGUUUCCUUCAUGUCAAAAAAGGAUCCCAGAUCUCCCAUCAGGCCUUGCAGCUCCUGACUUUGUGAUGAGUUCCUGCAGAAACUCUUGGAAAUCUCAUGUUGAUUCUCUCCCAGUUGACAUCCAUGGAGAUUUUCACUGCUGUUGUUCAACUGUAGAGUUUGUCACAGACGCUCAAACUCAUGAAGAGUUCAGCUGGAAGUUGAGAACGAGGCUUUGAAACCAGCAGCAGUUUGAGUCCAUUCUGAUGUUCCAUUCAGGUUUCUGCUACAACAAGCCUUUAUUUUGAAAGAGCCAGUGGGGCAGAAACAAUAGAAGGAGGAGAUUACCAACCCCCCCUGGAAUGUUGCCCCCUGUGCAGUGGACUAGUGGGGGCAGGGACGGCUGAACCAAUCACAGAAGACUGUUGCAGCUUUCCCUCCAAAAGUCAACCAAUCAGAUGUUGUUGUUUGGAUACUUUGUCUUGAAGUUUCACAUGUGGAAGCUUCCAGAGUCUUUUCUGUUUGCUCUGCAGGCUGAGCAGAACUGACUCCUGCAGGAUCACAGGAACUUUCAGGAAAAUCUCCAAACAGGAGAAAAGUUUCUGUUUGGACCUUUUUUCUGUGAUUGUGAGACUAGCAGAUGAUCGAUCGGAGCUGCAGUGAAGAGGACGGCGGUGUUUGUGGGAGUUGGAGCUGAAGAUCGGAGCAGGAACCAUGUCUUCAGAACCUCAGGAAGGUUCUGUCAGAGAACAACUUUCUGCUGCUGAAGGAACCAUCGUCCAGAACGAGGAGGAGCUCUGUCGUCAGCGCAGACUGCUGGAUAGCAGCUGGAACCCGCAGCUGCAGCUCCACAUAGUUGUCCUCCUUCAGCGUUAUGCGAGUGAAGAUGAUCUGUGCAACCAACAGAGGAAUCUAAGAAUGGAACAGGAGGAAUCAGAGCCUCUGCAUAUUAAAGAGGAACAUGGAGAACCAGAACCUCCACAGUUUAAAGAGGAACAUGGAGAACCAGAACCUCCACAGUUUAAAGAGGAACAUGGAGAACCAGAACCUCCACAGUUUAAAGAGGAACAUGGAGAACCAGAACCUCAACACAUUAAAAAGGAACAGGAGGAAUCAGAGCUUCCACAGAUUAAAGAGGAGCAAGAGAAACAAGAACCCAAAA